rnacentral:snRNA from 1 species
AGAUGUGAUGGCAAAUAGGUUGUGGCUCAUACCAUCCUAUUGGCCACCAUGGUUGAUUCCAUUGAGACGCCUGACUAGGGUAUCCACUUCCUUCCUAGCUGCUCCUCGCAAUCCCUUCCCAAGUUGUUCACUUGGUGGAAGAGAAUGGCCUUCACAAAGAAGGGAACUCUGUUCUUCAGUCAUGUGAUUAGAGCAUCCAUGAUGCCCUACAAGAACCUCCAAACAAUGUGUUAAUUAUAUAUGGACCAUGAGGGCCAGUGAGGUCAAGGCAACAGCCACCAAGCCUUAGAACCUGAGUU